rnacentral:snoRNA from 1 species
ACUUCACCUUGCACUCAGAUUCACUUCCUAGUAGGCGGCAGAGAGAAGAGAAGCUAUGUCUAUGCUCAAUGCUCUGACCUGUGAACACCUAAAUGUUUAGCAGCCUAACAUU